rnacentral:rRNA from 1 species
AUUGAACGCUGGCGGCAUGCCUUACACAUGCAAGUCGAACGGCAGCACGGGAGCAAUCCUGGUGGCGAGUGGCGAACGGGUGAGUAAUGUAUCGGAACGUACCUUUCAGUGGGGGAUAACGUAGCGAAAGUUACGCUAAUACCGCAUAUUCUGUGAGCAGGAAAGCAGGGGGAUCGCAAGACCUUGCGCUGAUUGAGCGGCCGAUAUCAGAUUAGCUAGUUGGUGAGGUAAAGGCUCACCAAGGCGACGAUCUGUAGCGGGUCUGAGAGGAUGAUCCGCCACACUGGAACUGAGACACGGUCCAGACUCCUACGGGAGGCAGCAGUGGGGAAUUUUGGACAAUGGGCGCAAGCCUGAUCCAGCCAUGCCGCGUGAGUGAAGAAGGCCUUCGGGUUGUAAAGCUCUUUCAGCCGGGAAGAAAACGCAUGGGUUAAUACCCUGUGUGGAUGACGGUACCGGAAUAAGAAGCACCGGCUAACUACGUG